CAAAUCAAAUGCUAGUGUCUAAAUACUCACUAAUCCCAGUGUUUUGAGCAUAAGGAUCGAAAGAAGAAGGAGCUAGUUCCGGAUCACAAACAAAGGCACAAGAUCGAGGUAAAGCACCCGUAUGAUUGUCAUUGCGUCGCUCGGAUACGAACACACCAUGAUCACCCGUGAUGCGCUUCCGCAACUUUUGUAGUAACCUAGUAACCUUAUUAGUUAAAGGCUUUUGUUAAAGUUAGUAGUGUUGAAGUUUUAAGUUUUAACUAGAUGUUUGUGA